ACCGUUUCUCAUCCGAUCACAAAAGUUAAGCAACGUUGAGCCUGGACAGUACCUAGAUGGUCAACCACUUGGGAAUACCAGAUGCUGUAA